CGAGUCCCAAAUAGGACGAAAUGCGCAUCCUGAAU
rnacentral:hammerhead_ribozyme from 1 species